rnacentral:rRNA from 1 species
UCUUCCUACGGGGCGCAGCAGUGGGGAAUAUUGCACAAUGGGGGAAACCCUGAUGCAGCGACGCCGCGUGAGUGAAGAAGUAAUUCGUUAUGUAAAGCUCUAUCAGCAAGGAAGAAAAAAGACGGUACUUGACUAAGAAGCCCCGGCUAAAUACGUGCCAGCAGCCGCGGUAAUACGUAUGGGGCAAGCGUUAUCCGGAUUUACUGGGUGUAAAGGGAGCGUAGACGGCAUGGCAAGUCUGAUGUGAAAGCCCAGGGCUAAACCCUGGGACUGCAUUGGAAACUGUCUAGCUAGA